AAAUUGGAACUAAAAGUGAAAAAUUUCAUGUGGUAUCUUCAUAGGGGAGUUGUGUUAACCAAAAACGACCUCGCAAGGCGCAACUGGCAAGGGAGUAAGAAGUGUUGUUUUUGUACUCAUGACGAGACAAUCAAACAACUCUUUUUCCAAUGCAAGUUUGCACAUUCUACGUGGUCAGUCAUCCGAACAGCGUUGAAUUUGUAUCCACCCAAAAACGUUGCCAAUAUUUUUUAUCAUUGGUUGAACGGUAUUUCAAAUAGGUUCAAAACGUUAAUAAGGAUGGGAGUGUAUGCCUGA
rnacentral:rRNA from 1 species